rnacentral:tRNA from 1 species
AGCGGGGUGGGGAAGCCAGGUAAUCCCGGUGGGCUCAUAACCCGCAGAGCGGUUUUCAUCAUUGCUCUCAGUAGUGAUGAACGCAGGUUCAAAUCAACCCCCCGCUA